GACGAACGCUGGCGGCGUGCUUAACACAUGCAAGUCGAGCGGUAAGGCCCUUUCGGGGGUACACGAGCGGCGAACGGGUGAGUAACACGUGGGUGACCUGCCCUCAGCUCUGGGAUAAGCCUGGGAAACUGGGGUCUAAUACCGGAUAUGACCCUAUGGCGCAUGUUGUGGGGUGGAAAGCCUUGUGCGGCUAGGGAUGGGCCCGCGGCCUAUCAGCUUGUUGGUGGGGUGAUGGCCUACCAAGGCGACGACGGGUAGCCGGCCUGAGAGGGCGACCGGCCACACUGGGGACUGAGACACGGCCCAGACUCCUACGGGAGGCAGCAGUGGGGAAUCUUGCGCAAUGGGCGAAAGCCUGACGCAGCGACGCCGCGUGAGGGAUGACGGCCUGG
rnacentral:rRNA from 1 species